rnacentral:rRNA from 1 species
UACGAAGGGUGCAAGCGUUAAUCGGAAUUACUGGGCGUAAAGGGUGCGUAGGCGGUUGUUUAAGUCUGCCGUGAAAUCCCCGGGCUCAACCUGGGAAUGGCGGUGGAUACUGGCUCGCUAGAGUGCGGUAGAGGAGAGUGGAAUUCCCGGUGUAGCAGUGAAAUGCGUAGAGAUCGGGAGGAACAUCAGUUGCGAAGGCGGCUCUCUGGACCAGCACUGACACUGAGGCACGAAAGCGUGGGGAGCAAACAGGA